rnacentral:rRNA from 1 species
GGAAGGGGUGUAUUUAUUAGAUUAAAAACCAAUGCCCUUCGGGGCUCCCUGGUGAUUCAUAAUAACUUCUCGAAUCGCACGGCCUUGCGCCGGCGAUGGUUCAUUCAAAUUUCUGCCCUAUCAACUUUUGACGGCAGGGUCUUGGCCUGCCAUGGUGACAACGGGUAACGGAGGGUUAGGGCUCGACCCCGGAGAAGGAGCCUGAGAAACGGCUACUACAUCCAAGGAAGGCAGCAGGCGCGCAAAUUACCCAAUCCCGACUCGGGGAGGUAGUGACAAUAAAUACUGAUACAGGGCUCUUUUGGGUCUUGUAAUUGGAAUGAGUACAAUUUAAAUCCCUUAACGAGGAACAAUUGGAGGGCAAGUCUGGUGCCAGCAGCCGCGGUAAUUCCAGCUCCAAUAGCGUAUAUUAAAGUUGUUGAGGUUAAAAAGCUCGUAGUUGAACCUUGGGCCUAGCCGGCCGGUCCGCCUCACCGCGUGCACUGGCUCGGUUGGGCCUUUCUUUCUGGAGAACCCCAUGUCCUUCACUGGGUGUGGUGGGGAACCAGGACUUUUAC